GGGGUUGUGGCUCAGUGGUAGAGCCCUUACCUGACAUGUGAGAGGCACUGGUUUGAAUCCUCAGUACCA
rnacentral:tRNA from 1 species